rfam:Camelus ferus unplaced genomic scaffold scaffold4111, whole genome shotgun sequence.
GAGGGUAUAGCUCAAAUUGUAGAGCGCAAGCUUAGGAUGCUUGAGGUAUUGGGUUCAAUCCCCAGUACCUCCU